AACCAAGGAAUGCAUAAAUAUCAUAACCAAUGAGUUUUAUCGGAGUCAUGCUUAUUGCUAAUUGAAAACUUUUCCCAAUACCCAGCAUGACAACUUGAAAUAUAGUUGGCUUUGGUAAUUUUUGACAGUCUCUAUGGAGA
ensembl:snRNA U4 U4 spliceosomal RNA